rnacentral:lncRNA from 1 species
AUGUCAGAUCACACCUACCAUAUUGGCUUCCUGUCCCCAGAACAUCAGGUUUUUGCAGCUCAUGUGUGUGGGGGGUGUCUCCUCCCGACAAUCCCCACCCCCAGCAGCAUCAGGUCCGUGCUGUUCGGGGUUUUGUUAAGCCGUUUAGUAUUAAUUGAUUUUUUUUUCCAUUUUUUCUUUCUUUCCCUGGGCGGGUCAAUAGCUGGAUGCUCAAGAGCAGAGGAUCUAUCAACUGCAGACCAAGCGGAGGGAGAGACAGGCAGACCUGGAGCAGAAAUGCAGCCGGAUCCAGCAGCUCAGCCAGGACCUGGAGGCCAGCCACCAGCCGCAGGAGGAAGCUCAGAAGCAGGGAGGGUAAAUUUAGCUCCAAACAGCAGAAGAGAGAAGGGAAGGAAGGGGAAAGGACUGACGUGGCCAGGAUGGAUUUUCCUAGAACAACACUCUGAACGCAAAGUGCAGUAG